AUCACUUCUCGGUGGACUGAUCGCGUCCUCUUAUACCGCAUUACUUGUUUGAUGUGAAGUACCACGCUACAAGGGAAGUGAUGCCUCGGCCUGGACGAAGACUGGUCGCUCAUGGUCGACGAGGACACCAACGAGUGCUCCCUCGUGAGCUUGCCGGCGCCCACCGUAAUCACUCUCCCGCCGCUGCCCGAGGACGCGCCAGAGCCAUACCUGUGGUUCGGUUGCGCGCUCUCGGUGCAAACCACCCCACCUGACUGCACGGUGGUGCUCGACUUCGUCAGGGAGAGGUGCCGUAUCCAUUGCCGCCUGGCGACCCCGAGUGGUCCCGUCUCCCUGUGGAGCUCGUUGAGAAGAACGACGAGUUCGAAGGACCCAUAACCGCCGGCCACCAGGGGAAGGUGUACGUGAUGACCAUGCUAUCCUUGGUGGCCAUGGACGCGUCGUCCGGCCCGGCAGUCGAGAGGGCGAUCAUGAUGCUCCCGCCGACCCGCCCCCGUGCCCAGCGCACGCCGAGUACAAGUGCUACCUGGUGUCGUGUCCCGACGGCGAGCUCUUCCUGGUCCGCUGCUGCCUCUUUGGGUACCCGGAUGAGGUGCUGGACGCCAAGGUCUUCCAAUGGAACGAUGAAGACAAUGCCUGGGAGACGGUCGAAACCAUCGCUUCCUAGGCAGGUUUACUUUCGCGGUCCCGUCGGCCGCUGAAGCAUGAACCCAACCCAACGGCAUCCAUUUGCUGCGCAAAGUUUGCUAUGAGUUCGGUACCUAUACAGUUUCCCUCGAUGAUAUGACCAUCCGGCUUAGUAUUGUCGAGGGAUGUGAUGAUCGUACUGAUGAUGGCGAGGACCAAGUUUUCUGGGCUCUUCCCACUAGGUAAGUUCAAUUCAAUUCCACUUGCUCGGUUUGAACCAGUAUUAAUCACUCUGUAUGAUACGUAUGCAUGCUUGGAACAUUAUGAUACGCAUGCAUACUAGCGUGGUAGUAACUUGAAUGCAUCACAAAGAGUUGUUUUCCGCAUCUUUCCUACGCACAACCAAAAAAUCAGCCCGCUGGAGAAAAUAGUCCAAUGAAAGAAAAAAUAGACCCAGACCCACGAACACAUGCCCCUUCCUGAUCAAAGGACAACCUCGUUCCUCAAAUUUUUUCCAACUGAAUCCAGCUCCUUUUCUGCCUGUCCCACCCACGUCGUAGCGCUCUCUCCGUACACAUGCGCCGCUCGUCCUAGACGGUUGCCACCGCCUGUAUUGAUUCUCGACCUCCCGAAGGACGCAUCCAUCACGCCGGUCAAGGCCCUGCCACACGCCAUGGUUAGUGCCGCCAUCCACUCAUCUCCUCUGUACGACCCCUUCUCUCUCGGAUCCAGGCUGGCCGACGGUGUCGAUCCCCAACUGAAGUGGCCCCACCUUCCUUUCCUCGUGCGCCUCGGCGCCGUUUCCAGGUACGCAUCGUAGCGCAAGCGCAUGGGCUGACAGCGUCCACCGUCGAGCCUUGUCCAAGGAUGGCAGUCCAUCACACCGUGUGCCACUGCAUCGAGCCGGCAGCCACCAUCGCCGUCCAGUCCAUCUACCGGUGAUAGCGAGAUCUAUCCACCCAGUUCUGCAUCCAUCACGCACCCAACCACCAGGUAUAGGCCACUUCUAUUAUUAUAUUUCUCCUUUGAUUUAGUCGGAGAUGUUGCUGUUGUGCUUGAAGUGUGAGAGAGCAGAAAGGACUGAGAGAGUGCAGGGGUGGUAUGAUCACGACCUAAUGUCAUGGAAGUAGCGACAUAUGUAGAAAUAACCACAUUAUCAUGUGGGGAAGAAACUUAUGAAUUAACCUUGUGAAAUUACAGUGGAAUGGCUCCUAGCACCUCCUGAAGGAAUUAAAAGAUUUGAAGAAGAGAUGCGGCCAGUGAAGUUGACUACCAAAGUUCUUGGUAUGAUUCAGGCUUCUCGUUAUUUUAGUAUCUGGAUGAGCAUAUGAGUGCAUAAGAAAGAUUGACGUUGUACUUUGGCAACCCGUAAGGUUGUUUAUCAUGAAGCUACUUGAACUUUUCUUAUGCUCUAGGCCAACUGUUGUGCUGGUCCGACAUAGUGAAAGUAAUACUCAAUCUAUUCUUUUUUUGUCUUGCCUUAAAGAAUUGAUACCCUUCCAGAUCUUAUCAAUUAUUUUGAAAGCUUUGUAUACCAUGUGCUUCAAUUUUUGGUUUAAUCGUGUUAAAGCAAGAAAAACAUUACUCGUGGCUGAGUCCAUCCUCUGCAUUGAAGGGGUGCAAAUUUUACCAGUCAUAAAAUGAUGUUAAAAUAGAUCUUUACUUUGUGCUCCUAAAAAUACAGGAGCAUGUGGAUUUUCCAUAACAAUUUGAUAGAAGUUAACAUCUCUGAUGAUAUUUAGUACUGUCAGCCAUUGGUGUGUUUUCCCUAAUUAAUAAUUGUUUCAUGGUGCUAUUUAGGUUAUGCUCCAGCGAAAAAUGACUUCCUCUUCAAGAGAGUACACACAAUUCCUGUCCUAUAAUGUUUGUUUUUUCGAAAUUCUAGGGACGGAUUAAGGAGGGGUGUUCAGAUAUAUUCGAUCAUACUUUCUGCACAAUGUUUUCUUCUAAAAAAUAUUGGACAUUGUUUGGAUAAUUUUUUAAAACUUAGUUUCCUUUGUUUCUUUCACUUUGAGAGGCUACAAAGUUUCAUUUUCGAUAAGUCAUAUCUCCUCAUCUGUCAAUUACACUCCCUACUUCCCAUAAGUUAAAUUGUUAAAAUUGAAGUGCUCAAAAUAGAAAGUGAAUAUUGAAUACAGAUAUACUGAUGGAACACUCAAGAGGGAAGUCUGCACUUGUUUUCUGUUCUACAAGAAAAGGUGCACAAGAAGCAGCAGAGUGCCUCUCACAAACUGCAGGGUCUCUUGGCUAUUAAAAUCCAUUCAUGAAAUCUAUGCAGCAGUAUGAACAUCUACGAGAGGCUUCCUUAACCUGUAGUGACAAGCAGCUGCAGUCCUGUAUCGUACAUGGAGGUCAUGUUGAAUCUUGUUCUCUAGGACAUGACCUUCCUAAUUUUGCUACCGAUUACAGUGUUUUUGUCUUCUUAUCUGGACACUCAUGUUAGGUGUUGCCUAAAUUUACACUGACAUAGUCGUAUUUCCAAAUUUCAGUUGGUUUCCUAAUGGUGGUCUUUGCUUAAAGGAUCGGAGUCUUUUUGAGGGGCUUUUCCUGAAGGGUGAUCUUCAAAUUCUAUGCACGACAAAUACUUUGGCACGGCAUCAACUUACCUUCACAUACAGUAGUGAUAAAGUCGACACAAUUUUUCAACAAAGAGAAGGGGUCUUAUGUAGAAUAUGAGAGAUCCAUGGUUCUUCACGUGUGCUAUUAAGUCUCGCUUGCUCCUGCAAAAUAA